rnacentral:tRNA from 1 species
AAACCUAUAGUUUAAAUUAAAAUAUAUGAUUUGCACUCAUAAGAUAUUUUUUAUAAAAUUAGGUUUA